rnacentral:rRNA from 1 species
CCUACGGGAGCAGCAGUGGGGAAUAUUGGACAAUGGGCGAAAGCCUGAUCCAGCCAUGCCGCGUGUGUGAAGAAGGCCUUCGGGUUGUAAAGCACUUUCAGUGGGGAAGAAAGCCUUGGGGCUAAUACCCUCGAGGAAGGACAUCACCACAGAAGAAGCACCGGCUAACUCCGUGCCAGCAGCCGCGGUAAUACGGAGGGUGCGAGCGUUAAUCGGAAUUACUGGGCGUAAAGCGCGCGUAGGCGGUCUGAUAAGCCGGUUGUGAAAGCCCCGGGCUCAACCUGGGAACGGCAUCCGGAACUGUCAGGCUAGAGUGCAGGAGAGGAAGGUAGAAUUCCCGGUGUAGCGGUGAAAUGCGUAGAGAUCGGGAGGAAUACCAGUGGCGAAGGCGGUCUUCUGGACUGACACUGACGCUGAGGUGCGAAAGCGUGGGUAGCAAACAGGAUUAGAUACCCUUGUAGUC